rnacentral:rRNA from 1 species
UGGGCGUAAGGAGCGUAGGCGGAUAUUUAAGUGAGAUGUGAAAUACCCGAGCUUAACUUGGGUGCUGCAUUUCAAACUGGAUAUCUAGAGUGCGGGAGAGGAGAAUGGAAUUCCUAGUGUAGCGGUGAAAUGCGUAGAGAUUAGGAAGAACACCAGUGGCGAAGGCGAUUCUCUGGACCGUAACUGACGCUGAGGCACGAAAGCGUGGGUAGCAAACAGGAUUAGAUACCCUGGUAGUCCACGCCGUAAACGAUGAGUACUAGGUGUAGGAGGGUCCAACCUUCUGUGCCGCAGUUAACACAAUAAGUACUCCGCCUGGGAAGUACGAUCGCAAGAUUAAAACUCAAAGGAAUUGACGGGGGCCCGCACAAGCAGCGGAGCAUGUGGUUUAAUUCGAAGCAACGCGAAGAACCUUACCUGGACUUGACAUCCCCUGAAUAGCCUAGAGAUAGGUAAAGCCCUUCGGGGCAGGGAGACAGGUGGUGCAUGGUUGUCGUCAGCUCGUGUCGUGAGAUGUUAGGUUAAGUCCUGCAACGAGCGCAACCCCUAUCAUUAGUUGCUACCAUUAAGUUGAGCACUCUAGUGAGACUGCCCGGGUUAACCGGGAGGAAGGUGGGGAUGACGUCAAAUCAUCAUGCCCCUUAUGUCCAGGGCUACACACGUGCUACAAUGGUGGGUACAAAGAGAUGCAAGACCGCGAGGUGGAGCAAAACUCAAAAACCCAUCCCAGUUCGGAUUGUAGGCUGCAACUCGCCUACAUGAAGCCGGAGUUGCUAGUAAUCGCGAAUCAGAAUGUCGCGGUGAAUACGUUCCCGGGCCCUGUACACACCCGCCCGUCACACCAUUGAGAGCUGGCACACCCCGAAGUCCGUGAGGNUAACCUGCAAAGGGAGCCAGCGGCCGAANGUGGGGGUUAGNGAUUGG